CUGGCGGCAUGCCUAAUACAUGCAAGUCGAACGAGAUCUUCGGAUCUAGUGGCGCACGGGUGCGUAACCGUGGGAAUCUGCCCUUGGGUUCGGAAUAACGUCGGGAAACUGACGCUAAUACCGGAUGAUGACGUAAGCCAAAGAUUUAUCGCCCAGGGAUGAGCCCGCGUAGGAUUAGCUAGUUGGUGGGGUAAAGGCCUACCAAGCGACGAUCCUUAGCUGGUCUGAGAGGAUGAUCAGCCACACUGGGACUGAGACACGGCCCAGACUCCUACGGAGGCAGCAGUAGGGAAUAUUGGACAAUGGGGGCAACCCUGAUCCAGCAAUGCCGCGUGAGUGAUGAAGCCUUAGGGUUGUAAAGCUCUUUUACCCGGGAUGAUAAUGACAGUACCGGGAGAAUAAGCUCCGGCUAAUCCGUGCCAGCAGCCGCGGUAAUACGGAGGGAGCUAGCGUUGUUCGGAAUUACUGGGCGUAAAGCGCACUAGGCGGCGAUUUAAGUCAGAGGUGAAAGCCCGGGGCUCAACCCCGGAACUGCCUUUGAGACUGGAUUGUUGAAUCCUGGAGAGGUGAGUGGAAUUCCGAGUGUAGAGGUGAAAUUCGUAGAUAUUCGGAAGAACACCGUGGCGAAGGCGGCUCACUGGACAGGUAUUGACGCUGAGGUGCGAAAGCGUGGGGAGCAAACAGGAUUAAUACCCUGGUAGUCCACGCCGUAAACGAUGAUAACUAGCUGCCGGGGCACAUGGUGUUUCGGUGGCGCACUAACGCAUUAAGUUAUCCGCCUGGGGAGUACGGUCGCAAGAUUAAAACUCAAAGGAAUUGACGGGGGCUGCACAAGCGGUGGAGCAUGUGGUUUAAUUCGAAGCAACGCGCAGAACCUUACCAACGUUUGACAUCCCAUCGCGGAUCGUGGAGACACUUUCCUUCAGUUCGGCUGGAUAGGUGACAGGUGCUGCAUGGCUGUCGUCGCUCGUGUCGUGAGAUGUUGGGUUAAGUCCCGCAACGAGCGCAACCCUCGCCUUUAGUUGCCAGCAUUUGUUGGGUACUCUAAAGGAACCGCCGGUGAUAAGCCGGAGGAAGGUGGGGAUGACGUCAAGUCCUCAUGGCCUUACGCGUUGGGCUACACACGUGCUACAAUGGCGACUACAGUGGGCAGCGACCUCGCGAGGGGAAGCAAUCUCCAAAAGUCGUCUCAGUUCGGAUUGUUCUCUGCAACUCGAGAGCAUGAAGGCGGAAUCGCUAGUAUCGCGGAUCAGCAUGCCGCGGUGAAUACGUUCCCAGGCCUUGUACACACCGCCCGUCACACCAUGGGAUUGGAUUCACUCGAAGGCGUUGAGCUAACCCGCAAGGGAGGCAGGCGACCACAGUGGGUUUAGCGACUGGGUGAAGUCGUAACAAGGUAGCCGUAGGGGAACCUGCGGCUG
rnacentral:rRNA from 1 species